AUGGAAACCUGUUUGAAGCUUAGCAAUUUUGAUACGGUGGAGACGAACUACGACGUGUAUUCAGGGGUUGUGCUAUUGAAGUUGUUGCGGUGUUGUUGUUACAUGUUAGUUGUUGAAAUGAUUAUUGAUAAUAAGGUGAUGAUGAUACCACUGUUUUUGAGAGACGAAGAUUGCAGUGUUGAUGUGAAGAUGAUGAGAUGUUGCUUUGAGAUGUGA